ensembl:snRNA U4 U4 spliceosomal RNA
AGCUUUGCACAGUGGCAGUAUCAUAGCCAAUGAGGUUUAUCCAAGGCGCGAUUAUUGCUAAUUGAAAACUUUUCCCAAUACCCCACCGUGACAACUUGCAUAUUGCCAGUCAGCACUAGCAAUUUUUGACUGUCUAUACGGAGA